UGGCGUUGCAAUGAAAAUGGGUUUGUCCCAGC
rnacentral:piRNA from 1 species